rnacentral:rRNA from 1 species
AGUUUGAUCCUGGCUCAGAUUGAACGCUGGCGGCAUGCUUUACACAUGCAAGUCGAACGGCAGCACGGGCUUCGGCCUGGUGGCGAGUGGCGAACGGGUGAGUAAUACAUCGGAACGUACCCAGAAGUGGGGGAUAACGCAGCGAAAGUUGCGCUAAUACCGCAUACGUUCUACGGAAGAAAGUGGGGGACCUUCGGGCCUCAUGCUUUUGGAGCGGCCGAUGUCUGAUUAGCUAGUUGGUGGGGUAAAGGCUCACCAAGGCGACGAUCAGUAGCUGGUCUGAGAGGACGACCAGCCACACUGGAACUGAGACACGGUCCAGACUCCUACGGGAGGCAGCAGUGGGGAAUUUUGGACAAUGGGCGCAAGCCUGAUCCAGCAAUGCCGCGUGAGUGAAGAAGGCCUUCGGGUUGUAAAGCUCUUUUGUCAGGGAAGAAACGGCUCCGGCUAAUAUCUGGGGCUAAUGACGGUACCUGAAGAAUAAGCACCGGCUAACUACGUG